ACGUAGGGUGCGAGAGUUAAUCGGAAUUACUGGGCGUAAAGCGUGCGCAGGCGGUUUUUUAAGACAGUGGUGAAAUCCCCGGGCUCAACCUGGGAACUGCCAUUGUGACUGGAAGGCUGGAGGGCGGGAGGGGGGGAUGGAAUUCCGGGUGGAGCGGGGAAUUGCGUAGAUAGCGGGAGGAACACCGGGGGCGAAGGCAAGAAACGGGAGGGGAUCUGACGCGGAGGCGGGAAAGUCGGGGGAGCAAACUG
rnacentral:rRNA from 1 species